GUUUUAAAGAGCCAUGCUACAAUGAAAAGAACAGGAAGUAGUUUUUACUGGCAGAAAAAGCACCUAAUAUUAGAAAGCUGCUGCCAAUAAUCUGGCCUAGGAGUAAAGUUUCUGAAGGGAGAGAUAUUCUUAUUACGAAGUUUAGCAUGCUGCAGUCAAUGAUGAAAUAGAAUAGGGUAUUUAUAUACGGCAGAUACAGCACCUAAGAAUAAAGAAUAGCAAGCUGCUGCCUACAGAACCCUAAAAAAGAUGAAGAUUGAUUGAAUCUUUAUAGGCCAGGGCUUAGCCAUUUUAGAAACAGCAGCUAAGACCAGUAACGUGAUGCCUAUGUAUGAAUUCUUCUUCCGAGCGAGGAUGUUCAGCACUCCUUCCCUCCCACCACCAUCCUGGCAAAGGACCGGCACUGGAGUACCCAAAGAGAGGCGUCUCUAAUGGACCAGACAGAGUACAUCCUGUUUCAAGAGAUGUAUUCUGGAAGAGCGUCGAGUCAUGUAGGACCAUACAAGAGAAAAGAAUACAUCUUGUGUCAAGAGAUUUGCUGUGGAAGAGAAUGGAGUCCUGUAGGACCAUCGGAGAGAAAAGGUGAGAAAUUUGCAAUCUUGUUUGUUUUCUUUAUCUUUGAAAGUGACUGAGGUUAUUGGAAAGAUAUAAUGAGAGUCAGAAGACCAAGUAGUAGGCUAAAUGGCAGAGACAGCACCUAAGAUUAGCAAGCUGCUGCCAAUAACUAGUGGGCUUUUUAAAA